UACGAUUACAAAUACUGUGAAGUUGAAAAUACAUGCAUUGAGAAUACAGUAGUUACGACUGCAUAUAUUUUAUUUGAUUGGAUGUAAUAAAAAAUAUUAUAAGUAUAAAUAAUUUAUUUGAUUGCAUAUAGUUGAUAAAUAUAUCUUCAAAUUUUUAUCAAUUUAUAUAUGUAAUGGUAAUUUUACCUUCAGUGUAGGUGAUUAGGAAAAUAGGCUAACAUUUUGUAUACUGCUACUUUUUUCAACUGCUAUAAUUAGAAUUACAACUAAUUUGGAUGUAGUUUCAACUGCUACUAUUGUAUCUCCUCAUGGAGUUCCAAUUACAGCAGUUGGAUUCAAAUGCAUCACAAAUCAAAUACCGAAUUUGGGUCUAUAUGUAGUUACAACUGCAAUAUUAUUACAACUUCACGCGAUCAACAGAUGUUGGUUUGGUAGUAGGGUCAUUAAUUUUAGUUGAAGUGUAAAUUUUAUACACGCCCUUCCUCCAAAACCUUGAAUUACAUAGUUACCUCUCUAAAAGUGUCAAUAUCAAAAAUAUCCCUCUCGUUUAGAGAAACUAGCAUAUAUAUCCAAAUUGGUAAUUGUUCAUUAAAAAACUAAAUAAAAUUUUCAUUUUUCCGUUAUUAUUAUCUAUACCUGUUUAAUUAACUUAAACAUUAUCUUAUUUGAAAAUAUUAUAAGCAAUACUACAUAUACACCCUAUUUGAGAUGUAUAUCCUACACAUCACCCAUUCAAUAGGUAGGGUGUUAACUAUGACCGGUAGUUAACACCCUACCCAUUGAAUAGGUGGGGGUAACUUGUACACCCCGGAUAGAAUGUACAAGUAGUUUUUCUAAUUAAAAAAGACUAAAUUAUAGAAAACUUCCUGUCAAAACCUAAUUUUUCACUUUCCUCCCGUCAUUCAAAAAUCUACACUUUAUCCCCUUAAAAAAAAUAAAACAUAUUUACAGGUUGUACGAUGUUAACUCUAAUGACAAAAUGACCAAAUUGUCCCGCACCCUCUCCGUCUCCUCCCUAAUUUUGCUUACCCGCAACCUCUCCUCAUGUAAUAUCCCGAACUUCUCCAAUUAUGAAGUUUCGGUGGGAACUAGCU
rnacentral:lncRNA from 1 species